UAUUCUUUUAUUUUAAUCACAACCAAAGACAUUUACUUAAAUUUGUGCAAUGUAGAUACUCUAAGGCUUGCUCUAAUCGAGAGUGUAUUUUCAUGUGAAACUAAUCUUUGGAAAGAAGAUCCGGAAGAGACGGUCUCAUCACUGAUAUU
rnacentral:sRNA from 1 species